CCUGAACGCUGGCGGCGUGGCUAAGACAUGCAAGUCGCACGGGCGUAGCAAUACGCCAGUGGCGCACGGGUGAGUAAUGUAUCGCUAACGUACCCUUAGGUUUGGGUAGUAGCCAAUCGAAAGGGUUAGGGGUAAGUACCAGAUGACAUACCCUCGGAGGCAUCUUCGGGGUCGUCAAAGACCGCCAAGGCACCUUUGGUAGGCGGGCGGAUAUCGUAUCAGGUAGUUGGU
rnacentral:rRNA from 1 species